CCCAACCAGGGCUUGGAAAGAGCUUGUCCAUUCUUCAGAUUGUCCUUCCCACUGCGACUGAAACCUCAGUUUCAGCUUUACACCAGAGAAAUACACUCCCUGAUUUUGACAGGAAGUCACCCUCCCAUUGUAUAGACACUGCAGCAGCUAUGAAGGGACUGGUUGAAUUGGUCUCUGACUUUCAGACAAACAUUUAACAGAAGUACACCUGCACCUGCCCAAUGUCAUCUUUCUUUUCAAAGAUGUCUGGAGUCUUCUAUUCCCUUGUACAGGGCUACAUCACAGGAUGACUGUCAGCAGGGAAGACACCCACAGUGUGCAGAAAGCUUGGGCAAGAGAGGAGAGAUGAGAGGACUGGCAAACCUGACACCACUCACAAACUGCAAAUGCAUUUCCCACAUCUGCAAUACUCUAAAGCUGAGAUCUGGGCUCAAGUGUGUCAGCAACAGCCUCAUCACCACCAAAUACCGAGUUGUGUGUUCAGUGUGCUCUUACACAGGUAGCAGCAGUGCUCCUUUUGUUACAGCAGUGGUGCUGAUGAUGCCAGGGUGCUGCUGUGGCCCUGCUCUGCUGGAACUUCCUGUGUCCUUUUCAGAGGUGCUUUUCAGCAGGAUCUGACUCCUUGUUUCACAGCAAAUGUGUCUCAGCUGUUCCCAGACACAUGACCUCACAUUUGCAUGCAUUGAUUCUCAAUUAAAUUUGAGCUGCUUCUGUCCACCUCUGGCUUUGAGCAAGAUGAGAACACAGGAUAGGCCUAAUGCCCAUUGAUUAAAAAAAAAAAAAGUAAAAUCACUUUUAAACUAGAUUGUAGUAGCUCCUGAACUCAGUAGGAAUAAAGUCUGCUUUAAAAAUCAAGCUCCUAUAGAAGCUAAAAUGAACACUCUGGUUGGCUCCUUUGCAUCAAUUCUAUCUUAGUAUAAAAGUCAAACAAAGAAGCAGAAGUUAUGUGUUAGGCUUCCAUGCAGAAAGACAAGGAGUGCAAUCUCUCUCAUUUUCUUUCUGAUUAGCUUGUUCUGUUCAAGAUGUGAUGUGGAGCCAACUUAGAGCAAAGAAAUUUCAUUUCUCAGAGAGAUGAGAAUACAGAGGAAGAAGCCCCAUCAGAGUGGCAAGGGCAAAAUAAAAAUGACAAUAUGACUGGGAGCUGGGAUCAGUCAGGAUAGGAGCAGCCGAGGGUUUAAGAAAAUCCUCCCUGGAAGUCUGUUAAAUUGUAUGUGUUUAUGACCUUGAACCUUCAGUUAACCAAAGCUGAAUUUUUGUUGGCUUCCAAUUCACCCUGGUCUAAAAUGAAGAAUAAGUGAAGUGAGCACAAACAGCAUGUGUUUCUGAGACACAGGAGUUGCUCUAAGAGUGUCAUAGGGAGCUGCACAGCAGGAGCUGUUUUGAAGGCUUCUCCCAGAAGAAUGUUGAUGAAAAGCACAGCAUCCCAAUACUCACCUCCAGAGUAUGAUCGAAUUGCAGUUGAAAAUGGAUCAUGGAAGUAUUUUCAGCUGGACUGCUGCCUACAUCUAGAGUAUGGAAAGUUGUUACACAGGAGUGCUCUGAACAGACAGAUAAGCAACCCCAGCCACCAAAAGCAAAGCCCCUUUGACAACUUCAGCAUUUUCAGGCACUGAUUACUUGCAGUGACAAUCACUUCUAAUGUACUCCUGCCUACUGAAACUGAAAAGGAACUAGUGAACCAGAAGGUGCAGGUAGCUGAAUGUACAAUUACAGAAGCACAGAAUGAGCUGAGUUGGGAGCAACCCACAAGGAUAAUUGAGUCCAACUCCUGAUCCUGCACAGGACACCCCAAGUCACACCAUAUGCCUGAAAGCAGUGUCUGAACUCUUAUUGAACUCUGUCAGGUUGGUGCUGUGACCACUUCCCUGGGGAGCCUGUUCCAGUGCCUGACCAGCCUUUGGGUGAAGAACCUUUUUCUAAUAUCCAGCCUAAACUCAAUCGCUUCAUCGUCACUGAUCGGAGCCACCGAUCUCCACUUCAUACAUGAGAUCCACUCUGUUGAUAAGCAGAAAAAGGAGGACAACUUCCUGAGUUAGUUUCCCUUAGGACCUGUUCCAUAAAGUUGCCAUCCAGGUAUUUUAGAAGUCUUCUGGCCUGGGCUGUACCAGCUGUGUGAUGCUGGCAGUUAGUUUCUGCCAAGUUGAAGUCCUCCUUAGGACAAGGACAGUUGACUUGGAAGUGUUUCUUGGUUCCUCAAAGAAUAAUUCAUUGAUCUCAUUUUCCUGUCUGGAAGGUCUAUAGAAGAUUCCCAAGGUGAUAUUCACAUUAUAUGUUACUCCUGUGAUCCACGUGGUCCCUCUUCCAAGCCACCCCAUCUCAAAAUUUGGAAGAAGUUUUUCUCAUAUGAGCAUUGCCCCUCUUCACACAAGCACCAGGCCAUUUACUUUUUGGAGUGCGUGGCUGACUUGGGUGCUGCUCUGCCUUUUAAGUGUCCUCUUGCAAAAAUGUCUUGUGACUCACAGCAGUGACCAUUAUGAUCCAGUUAUUUAUUAGAGAGAUACUUCUGUCUGAAUUAAGGUGCAAACAACACCAUAGGCCCAAGUCAAUAAUACAGAUUUUAUUUAACAGUAAAUGAGGGGGAGAUAAAGAAACAGAGGAAGGUGGUGGUGGGUGGUGGGAGGAAGGUUGGAGCAGGGGAAAGAAACACCUUAAGAAGAAAAAGGUGUCAGCACUCUGUAGAUUUCAAUGACAUCCUGUUGCUCCUCUUCUUCUGGUCUCAGUGGUUGCAGACUGUAUCCAUCAAGUGGUGGAGGGAAAGAGUCUACAAAACUCCUGUACUGGUCCACUAACACCAGACUCUUAUUUCACCUGGGUGGGUACUGCAGGUGGUCAAAUGUUAGCAGUUCAACCCCUUACACUUGGGGAUACAUUCCUCUCCUUUGACCUGGGAUACUUGGACAAUAGCAUCACCUUGUCUUAUUUCAAGGUUCUUUUGCCAUCCAAAUUUGGAGAUAUAAUCAGAAAGGGUUGGGCUUUUGUAGAUGAGCAGCUGUUUCUUUGCAGUUUGCUACAGUGGACGAAAGACUUUUGGUAAUCUUAACAAUGAUUAAGCCAUUAACCUUUUCAGUCUCUGACAGUGACUCCAAUGUAGAGCCAUCAAUUGGCUUGAAACCUUUUGAAAAUGUGAAUUAUUUGGUAGGAAAGAUAAAAUAGCUUUAACUUCCUCAGAAAUCUCCAGCUGUCUAUCUCUGCUUUUCUCUGUGCCAUCCUGAGUAUCAGGAUGACAGGAGUGCUGGUUUUCUGUGGUGGGCAGAGACCAGCAUGGAGGCACUCACCCCUCUUUCCUAGCUUGUGGAUUUCACAGAGCCCCCUUUGGCUUUAUGUCUAUGUUUCAGGGAAAAGUUGAGAAACAAAAGUGAAUGUUUCAUGUUUGGGUCCUCUUGGGUCACUUGGCCAGAAGACACUUGCUCAUCUUAACUGAGGCUAAGAGUAAGGUAAAUAUUAAUUCCAGGUCGCAUAGUGAUGAACCAUGCAUAGAAUAGGGAUGUUGCUAAGAAUAGAAUUGCUGUCUUCCAGAAAAAAAAAAAAAGAAAAAAAAAAG